CGCAGCGAAAUGCGAUAAGUAAUGUGAAUUGCAGAAUUCAGUGAAUCAUCGAAUCUUUGAACGCACAUUGCGCCCUCUGGUAUUCCGGGGGGCAUGCCUGUUCGAGCGUCAUUAUAACCACUCAAGCUCUCGCUUGGUAUUGGGGUUCGCGGUUCCGCGGCCCCUAAAAUCAGUGGCGGUGCCUGUCGGCUCUACGCGUAGUAAUACUCCUCGCGUCUGGGUCCGGUAGGUCUACUUGCCAGCAACCCCCAAUUUUUACAGGUUGACCUCGGAUCAGGUAGGGAUACCCGCUGAACUUAAGCAUAUCA
rnacentral:rRNA from 1 species